rnacentral:lncRNA from 1 species
ACCCUUUUCUCUCGAAUUGGAUGAACAGCUCCAAAUCUGGAUCUACACUUUGAUUAAUCUCCCAAACUGCCUCUUGAAUUUCUCCACUACUGUUUUGCACUCGGAAUCUUACGAUUCCAAGAUUCUUACUCACUGCAACUCUCUCUCGCACUCAGUAUUGUGCAGAAACCGAACCAGCCACUAGGGCUCAAUGUCACUCUUU